rnacentral:rRNA from 1 species
UGAGUAACCUGCCCUUAACUCUGGGAUAAGCCUGGGAAACUGGGUCUAAUACCGGAUAUGACUCCUCAUCGCAUGGUGGGGGGUGGAAAGCUUUAUUGUGGUUUUGGAUGGACUCGCGGCCUAUCAGCUUGUUGGUGAGGUAAUAGCUCACCAAGGCAAUGACGGGUAGCCGGCCUGAGAGGGUGACCGGCCACACUGGGACUGAGACACGGCCCAGACUCCUACGGGAGGCAG